rnacentral:rRNA from 1 species
UGCAGUCGAACGCUUCUUUUCCCACCGGAGCUUGCUCCACCGGGAAAAGAGGAGUGGCGAACGGGUGAGUAACACGUGGGUAACCUGCCCAUCAGAAGGGGAUAACACUUGGAAACAGGUGCUAAUACCGUAUAACAAUCGAAACCGCAUGGUUUCGUUUUGAAAGGCGCUUUACGGUGCCGCUGAUGGAUGGACCCGCGGUGCAUUAGCUAGUUGGUGAGGUAACGGCUCACCAAGGCCACGAUGCAUAGCCGACCUGAGAGGGUGAUCGGCCACAUUGGGACUGAGACACGGCCCAAACUCCUACGGGAGGCAGCAGUAGGGAAUCUUCGGCAAUGGACGAAAGUCUGACCGAGCAACGCCGCGUGAGUGAAGAAGGUUUUCGGAUCGUAAAACUCUGUUGUUAGAGAAGAACAAGGGUGAGAGUAACUGUUCACCCCUUGACGGUAUCUAACCAGAAAGCCACGGCUAACUACGUGCCAGCAGCCGCGGUAAUACGUAGGUGGCAAGCGUUGUCCGGAUUUAUUGGGCGUAAAGCGAGCGCAGGCGGUUUCUUAAGUCUGAUGUGAAAGCCCCCGGCUCAACCGGGGAGGGUCAUUGGAAACUGGGAGACUUGAGUGCAGAAGAGGAGAGUGGAAUUCCAUGUGUAGCGGUGAAAUGCGUAGAUAUAUGGAGGAACACCAGUGGCGAAGGCGGCUCUCUGGUCUGUAACUGACGCUGAGGCUCGAAAGCGUGGGGAGCAAACAGGAUUAGAUACCCUGGUAGUCCACGCCGUAAACGAUGAGUGCUAAGUGUUGGAGGGUUUCCGCCCUUCAGUGCUGCAGCUAACGCAUUAAGCACUCCGCCUGGGGAGUACGACCGCAAGGUUGAAACUCAAAGGAAUUGACGGGGGCCCGCACAAGCGGUGGAGCAUGUGGUUUAAUUCGAAGCAACGCGAAGAACCUUACCAGGUCUUGACAUCCUUUGACCACUCUAGAGAUAGAGCUUCCCCUUCGGGGGCAAAGUGACAGGUGGUGCAUGGUUGUCGUCAGCUCGUGUCGUGAGAUGUUGGGUUAAGUCCCGCAACGAGCGCAACCCUUAUUGUUAGUUGCCAUCAUUUAGUUGGGCACUCUAGCAAGACUGCCGGUGACAAACCGGAGGAAGGUGGGGAUGACGUCAAAUCAUCAUGCCCCUUAUGACCUGGGCUACACACGUGCUACAAUGGGAAGUACAACGAGUCGCGAAGUCGCGAGGCUAAGCUAAUCUCUUAAAGCUUCUCUCAGUUCGGAUUGUAGGCUGCAACUCGCCUACAUGAAGCCGGAAUCGCUAGUAAUCGCGGAUCAGCACGCCGCGGUGAAUACGUUCCCGGGCCUUGUACACACCGCCCGUCACACCACGAGAGUUUGUAACACCCGAAGUCGGUGAGGUAACCUUUUUGGAGCCA